UACGGAGGGUGCAAGCGUUGUUCGGAAUCACUGGGCGUAAAGGGCGUGUAGGCGGUCCGCUAAGUCUGAUGUGAAAGCCCGGGGCUCACCCCCGGAAGGGCAUUGGAAACUGGCGGACUCGAGUCCCGGAGAGGAAGGUGGAAUUCCUGGUGUAGCGGUGAAAUGCGUAGAUAUCAGGAGGAAUACCGGUGGCGAAGGCGGGUCUCUGGACAGUUCCUGACGCUGAGGCACGAAGGCCAGGGGAGCAAACGGG
rnacentral:rRNA from 1 species